rnacentral:rRNA from 1 species
GCUAACACCGGGCAGGCAGCCGAGGUAAUAAGGAGGGUGCAAGCGUUAAUCGGAAUUACUGGGCGUAAAGCGUGCGCAGGCGGCUUAUUAAGUCAGAUGUGAAAUCCCUAGGCUCAACCUAGGAACUGCAUUUGAAACUAAUAAACUAGAGUAUCGUAGAGGGAGGUAGAAUUCCAGGUGUAGCGGUGAAAUGCGUAGAUAUCUGGAGGAAUACCAGUGGCGAAGGCGACCUCCUGGACGAAAACUGACGCUCAAGCACGAAAGCAUGGGGAGCAAACAGGAUUAGAUACCCGAGUAGUC